UACGUAGGGUGCAGGCGUUAAUCGGAAUUACUGGGCGUAAAGCGUGCGCAGGCGGUUUCUUAAGUCAGAUGUGAAAGCCCCGGGCUUAACCGGGGAACUGCGUCCGAUACUGGAUGGCUAGAGUUCGGGAGAGGGAUGCGGAAUUCCAGGUGUAGCGGUGAAAUGCGUAGAUAUCUGGAGGAACACCGGUGGCGAAGGCGGCAUCCUGGACCGACACUGACGCUGAGGAGCGAAAGCCAGGGGAGCAAACGGG
rnacentral:rRNA from 1 species